UGGGGAAUAUUGCACAAUGGGCGCAAGCCUGAUGCAGCCAUGCCGCGUGUGUGAAGAAGGCCUUCGGGUUGUAAAGCACUUUCAGCGAGGAGGAAGGGUAGUGUGUUAAUAGCACAUUGCAUUGACGUUACUCGCAGAAGAAGCACCGGCUAACUCCGUGCCAGCAGCCGCGGUAAUACGGAGGGUGCAAGCGUUAAUCGGAAUUACUGGGCGUAAAGCGCACGCAGGCGGUUUGUUAAGUCAGAUGUGAAAUCCCCGCGCUUAACGUGGGAACUGCAUUUGAAACUGGCAAGCUGGAGUAUUGAAGAGGGGGGUAGAAUUCCAGGUGUAGCGGUGAAAUGCGUAGAGAUCUGGAGGAAGACCGGUGGCGAAGGCGGCCCCCUGGACAAAGACUGACGCUCAGGUGCGAAAGCGUGGGGAGCAAACA
rnacentral:rRNA from 1 species